rnacentral:rRNA from 1 species
GAGUUUUGUCCUCGCUCAGGAUGACGCUGGCGGCGUGCCUAAUACAUGCAAGUCGAGCGAACAGACGAGGAGCUUGCUCCUUUGACGUUAGCGGCGGACGGGUGAGUAACACGUGGGUAACCUACCUAUAAGACUGGGAUAACUUCGGGAAACCGGAGCUAAUACCUGGAUAAUAUUUCGAACCGCAUGGUUCGAUAGUGAAAGAUGGCUUUGCUAUCACUUAUAGAUGGACCUGCGCCGUAUUAGCUAGUUGGUAAGGUAACGGCUUACCAAGGCAACGAUACGUAGCCGACCUGAGAGGGUGAUCGGCCACACUGGAACUGAGACACGGUCCAGACUCCUACGGGAGGCAGCAAUCGAAUUCCCGCUGCCACA